AUGGGAUUUUUGCUCCUGUUCAUUUUCGCUGUAGCGGUUUUGGAAGGUGUCCGGUCCCAGGUGCAGCUGGUGGAGUCCGGAGGGGAUGUGAAAAAGCUCGGAGACUCUCUCCAUCUCCCCUGCAAAGCCUCCGGGUUCACCUUCAGCAGGUCCAAUAUGCACUGGGUCCGACAGGCUCCCGGGAAGGGGUUAGAAUGGGUCGCUUUUAUAAGCUACGAUGGGAGUUAUAUAUAUUACCUUGAUUCAGUGAAAGGCCGAUUCACCAUCUCCAGGGAUAAUCCCAAGAGUGAGCUGUAUCUGCAAAUGACCGGCCUGAAGCCCGAGGACACCGCCCGCUAUUACUGUGCGAGAGACACGGUGGGGGGAAUCCCGGCAGGGCUCAUACAAAAACCCGAGCGGCAGAACCGCCCUUCCGCCAUGCGCCGCGCGGGGGCAGCACUUCCCCAAACAAUCCAGCACCGGGCUCGGGAACGGGAGCUAAAACCAGAGUGA